rnacentral:lncRNA from 1 species
GUUAGACAGUGACAGUAUUAUUAGACUUAACUUCGAUAGCCAGUAUCAGAAGUUGAAUAUAGUUUUUGAGUAAAUUAAUCAAGAAGUCUUAGGCUAACCCAAACAGGCUUAAAAGAGAAAUCAACAAAUCGUUGCUGGUUAAAAUAGUUAUAUGAUAAUUUUUUGAAGUUUUUUUAUUGAUAAUCCUACUAUCAGAGUAUAGGAUAUCCACAGUAUAACUCAUACUUGCAAAUAGUUGCAAAAGACUUCAAGAUAGUAGAAGG